rnacentral:rRNA from 1 species
GGACGAACGCUGGCGGCGUGCUUAACACAUGCAAGUCGAACGGUGAACCAGGGCUUGCCCUGGGGAUCAGUGGCGAACGGGUGAGUAACACGUGGGCAACCUGCCCCUGACUCUGGGAUAACUCCUCGAAAGAGGUGCUAAUACCGGAUACGACCACUUCGGGCAUCCGAUGGUGGUGGAAAGAAUUUUGGUCAGGGAUGGGCCCGCGGCCUAUCAGCUUGUUGGUGGGGUAACGGCCCACCAAGGCGACGACGGGUAGCCGGCCUGAGAGGGCGACCGGCCACACUGGGACUGAGACACGGCCCAGACUCCUACGGGAGGCAGCAGUGGGGAAUAUUGCGCAAUGGGCGAAAGCCUGACGCAGCGACGCCGCGUGAGGGACGACGGCCUUCGGGUUGUAAACCUCUUUCAGCAGGGACGAAGCGAAAGUGACGGUACCUGCAGAAGAAGCACCGGCUAACUACGUG